UACGUAGGGUGCAAGCGUCGUCCGGAAUUAUUGGGCGUAAAGAGCUUGUAGGCGGUUUGUCGCGUCUGCUGUGAAAUUUCGGGGCUCAACCCCGAACUUGCAGUGGGUACGGGCAGACUAGAGUGUGGUAGGGGAGACUGGAAUUCCUGGUGUAGCGGUGAAAUGCGCAGAUAUCAGGAGGAACACCGGUGGCGAAGGCAGGUCUCUGGGCAUUAACUGACGCUGAGGAGCGAAAGCAUGGGGAGCGAACAGGA
rnacentral:rRNA from 1 species